GGUAGUCCACGCCGUAAACGUUGGGCGCUAGGUGUGGGGGCCAUUCCACGGUCUCCGUGCCGCAGCUAACGCAUUAAGCGCCCCGCCUGGGGAGUACGGCCGCAGGGCUAAAACUCAAAGGAAUUGACGGGGCCCGCACAAGCGGCGGAGCAUGUUGCUUAAUUCGAUGCAACGCGAAGAACCUUACCUAGGCUUGACAUGCACGGAAAUCUCGUAGAGAUACGGGGGUGCCUUUGGCGUCGUGCACAGGUGGUGCAUGGUUGUCGUCAGCUCGUGUCGUGAGAUGUUGGGUUAAG
rnacentral:rRNA from 1 species